GAUGAACGCUAGCGGCAGGCUUAAUACAUGCAAGUCGUGGGGCAGCAGGAGUAGCAAUACUUGCUGGCGACCGGCAAACGGGUGCGUAACACGUACGCAACCUUCCUACAGGCGGGGAAUAGCCCAGAGAAAUUUGGAUUAAUACCCCAUAAGAUUUUGGAGUGGCAUCACUCUAUUAUUAAAGCUUCGGCACCUGAAGAUGGGCGUGCGGCUGAUUAGGUAGUUGGCGGGGUAACGGCCCACCAAGCCUUCGAUCAGUAGCUGAUGUGAGAGCAUGAUCAGCCACACGGGCACUGAGACACGGGCCCGACUCCUACGGGAGGCAGCAGUAAGGAAUAUUGGUCAAUGGACGAAAGUCUGAACCAGCCAUGCCGCGUGGAGGAUGAAGGUCCUCUGGAUUGUAAACUUCUUUUAUUUGGGAACGUAAAAAGGGACGAAUCUUGCUCACUUGUACGGUACCAAGAUAGAAUAAAGAACCGGCUAACUACCGUGCC
rnacentral:rRNA from 1 species